GCAUCCCUGUGCUUGGCUCUGGCUGGCCCAGGCAACGAGCCCUUAAGGCACCUCUGAGAAGGCACUUUCGCUUUCUCAGUGGACCACAUCCCUGGAGCGAGAUCUGGCAGACCCCGUGGUGAUCAAUGCAGUAGCUGAACACCGGGAAGGAAUUGACACUUGGUGAUGUCCAGACUACUGGAAAAUGAGAUGGAGUCUCACUCUGUCGCUCAGGCUGGAGUGCAGUGGAAUGAUCUCGGCUCUCAAGAUCUAGCAAUUCUCCUGCCUCAGCCUCCCAAGACUAAUUCAACUGUUGACUCCCAUCAAUCAAAUACUACGUCAGGAACACAGGCAUUGUCAACGAAGUUAGACUCAUUGCUUUAACAAGCAAAACUUCAAAAUGAACUUGUGGGGACUCUUACUAGGAGGAAAGUUAGGAAAGGAUACUUUGUUUUUGUGCUAGAGAGUUAUAGGAGACUACUGAAAUGUAUGAUUUAGAAUUUCCAACUGCAGAAGUCAGUGUUCUUCCUUUAACCCUAUGGUCAUAAACAAAGACAACUCAAAUGAGAACAAUAAAGAUUGUUUUUUCAGAACUGCUUAUAACAAGGGAGUCGGUCACCAUCACUUGAGUUGUGUGGAGACUCAGAGACAGGCAGGAAAAUGGGAAGACAUUUUUUACACUUUUAAAAAGGAAGGGGGAGGCUUAGGAUGUUCUGUGAUUGGAGAUUGCUUGUAGAGGAAAGCUAGAGGCGGAGUACUGGAAGUGAGGCAUUCUCUGUGAUUGGUUUAGGGAACAUAUUUGUCUUUCUCUGCUUGGAGGUACUGACAAAAAUUAUGCAGUCAGUGACCAUUUUGGCCUGAUUGCUGCAGAAGUUAUGAGUUAACAUGCUAUUGUCAUCAUGACUUGACCACUGCCCAUUUUUAUAAUCAGUCUGUCAGAAUAUAUGCAUUUGUACAGAGUACAUUUUAGACUAAUUUGUCUGUGAAUAUUUUGGACCAUCUGGCUCUGAAUGAAUUGGUAUUUUUUAAAAAGCAGUUUAGAUAUUUUGUGAAAACUAUUAUGUUUUGGUUUGAUUUGGUUAAUUUAUUUCAAAGUCAGGGUGCAUUG